rnacentral:rRNA from 1 species
UACGGGGGGAGCAAGCGUUGUUCGGAUUUACUGGGCGUAAAGGGCUCGUAGGCGGCCAACUAAGUCAGACGUGAAAUCCCUCAGCUUAACUGGGGAACUGCGUCUGAUACUGGAUGGCUUGGAUUUGGGAGAGGGAUGCGGAAUUCCUGGUGUAGCGGUGAAAUGCGCAGAUAUCAGGAGGAACACCAAUGGCGAAGGCAGCUCGCUGGGACGGUACUGACGCUGAGGCGCGAAAGCGUGGGGAGCGAACAGG